rnacentral:rRNA from 1 species
GGGGAAUAUUGGCCAAUGGGCGCAAGCCUGAUCCAGCCAUGCCGCGUGGGUGAAGAAGGCCUUCUGGUUGUAAAGCACUUUAAGUUGGGAGGAAGGGUUUCUGGCUAAUAUACAGGACUUUUGACGUUCCCGCAAGAAUAAGCUACGGCUAACUUCGUGCCAGCAGCCGCGGUAAUACGAAGGGUGCAAGCGUUAAUCGGAAUUACUGGGCGUAAAGCGCGCGUAGGUGGUUCGUUAAGUUGGAUGUGAAAGCCCCGGGCUCAACCUGGGAACUGCAUCCAAAACUGGCGAGCUAGAGUAUGGCAGAGGGUGGUGGAAUUUCCUGUGUAGCGGUGAAAUGCGUAGAUAUAAGAAGGUACACCAGUGGCGGAGGCGAGCACCUGAGCUAAUACUGACACUGAGGUGCGAAAGCGUGGGGAGCAAACA